GGAGGGGUACUCUAGCGGUCGAUGAGGUUCGGUUGCUAACCGGAUAGACGGGUAAAACCGUGCGAGAGUUCGAAUCUCUCUCCCUCCG
rfam:Bacillus phage Moonbeam, complete genome.